AUUGAACGCUGGCGGCAGGCUUAACACAUGCAAGUCGAGCGGGGUGAUGGUGCUUGCACUAUCACUUAGCGGCGGACGGGUGAGUAAUGCUUAGGAAUCUGCCUAUUAGUGGGGGACAACAUCUCGAAAGGGAUGCUAAUACCGCAUACGUCCUACGGGAGAAAGCAGGGGAUCACUUGUGACCUUGCGCUAAUAGAUGAGCCUAAGUCGGAUUAGCUAGUUGGUGGGGUAAAGGCCUACCAAGGCGACGAUCUGUAGCGGGUCUGAGAGGAUGAUCCGCAACACUGGGCCUAAGCACCGGCCCAGACUCCUACGGGAUGCAGCAGUGGGGAAUAUUGGACAAUGGGGGGAACCCUGAUCCAGCCAUGCCGCGUGUGUGAAGAAGGCCCUAGGGUUGUAAAGCACUUUAAGCGAGGAGGAGGCUCUUUUGGUUAAUACCCAAGAUGAGUGGACGUUACUCGCAGAAUAAGCACCGGCUAACUCUGUGCCAGCCGCCGCCGUAACAC
rnacentral:rRNA from 1 species